rnacentral:rRNA from 1 species
GUUCUAGCGAGCCCAACCUCCCACCCGUGUUUACUGUACCUUAGUUGCUUCGGCGGGCCCGCCAUUCAUGGCCGCCGGGGGCUCUCAGCCCCGGGCCCGCGCCCGCCGGAGACACCACGAACUCUGUCUGAUCUAGUGAAGUCUGAGUUGAUUGUAUCGCAAUCAGUUAAAACUUUCAACAAUGGAUCUCUUGGUUCCGGCAUCGAUGAAGAACGCAGCGAAAUGCGAUAACUAGUGUGAAUUGCAGAAUUCCGUGAAUCAUCGAGUCUUUGAACGCACAUUGCGCCCCCUGGUAUUCCGGGGGGCAUGCCUGUCCGAGCGUCAUUGCUGCCCAUCAAGCACGGCUUGUGUGUUGGGUCGUCGUCCCCUCUCCGGGGGGGACGGGCCCCAAAGGCAGCGGCGGCACCGCGUCCGAUCCUCGAGCGUAUGGGGCUUUGUCACCCGCUCUGUAGGCCCGGCCGGCGCUUGCCGAACGCAAAUCAAUCUUUUUCCAGGUUGACCUCGGAUCAGGUAGGGAUACCCGCUGAACUUAAGCAUAUC